rnacentral:rRNA from 1 species
GACGAACUGUCCUAACGUUGUUCGGAAUCACUGGGCUUAAAGGGCGCGUAGGCGGUCGACCAAGUCAGGGGUGAAAUCCUGCAGCUUAACUGUAGAAGUGCCUUUGAUACUGGUCGUCUCGAGGGAGGUAGGGGUGUGUGGAACUUCCAGUGGAGCGGUGAAAUGCGCAGAUAUCAGGAGGAACACCGGUGGCGAAGGCGGGUCUCUGGGCCGAUACUGACGCUGAGGAGCGAAAGCGUGGGGAGCGAACAGG